CACAGGGAGCCGACAGGAGGUGGGUUUGGAGAGCAGCUCUGACGCUCUCGUUCUCUCUCUGGGAUUCGGGACCCGGCGUCGCUGUGUGCCGUGCGGUACCCGGGGUGCGGGGAAGGGAGCUGAGCAGGGAAGUGUCAUUUGUACAAAUUGCCAGUUCGUGCCAGCUUGGGAGAGACCUCACAAGGGAAACCUGGAGCCUUCCCUGCUUUUCAUGUGAGCGGAUGCCCCUUUUAUUCCUGAGCAAGGAGUAAGUGGAGAAGAAAGGAGCCCCUGUCAGCCUCACGGAGACAAAUUGCUUCCUGCAGCAGAGGUGGCUCAGCGCUAACAACCACCCACUGCCAGAGCACCAAGACCCGCAGCCUGCAGCUGCUGAGACUCCAGCCCCAAUGCUCUGCAUGAUGUAAUCGACGGUGCUCAUCAAAAUAGCUUCUAAUAAAGAGUGAGGGCGGGAAGAC
ensembl:lncRNA